GAAUAGGUCUCCCUGAUCAUCACAAUAGAAUGGGUCUCCCUGGUCACCAUGACAAUAGAAUUGGUCUCCCUGAUCACCAUGACAAUAGAAUAGGUCUCCCUGAUCAUGACAUUUACAUUUACAUUUACAUUUACCAUGUCACCAUGACAAUAGAAUAGGUCUCCCUGAUCAUGACAAUAGAAUAGGUCUCCCUGAUCAUCACAAUAGAAUGGGUCCCCCUGGUCACCAUGACAAUAGAAUAGGUCUCCCUGUGCUGGACUCCAGCAGCACCUGGCCUUUUUUGGAACCUGUUAAUCAAAGUGAUACUCUGCGGUGUGUGCGUGUGUGUGUGUGUGUGUGUGUGUGUGUGUGUGUGUGUGUGUGUGUGUGUGUGUGUGUGUGUGUGUGUGUGUGUGUCGGACACAGCAUGGCAGGGGUCGUGUUUCACCAGUGAGGACCUCCUUGAUCCCGCCUGGAGGAUGUAAGAAAAGAAAGGAGGGGAAAAGAGAGAAGGUGGAAAGAGAGAAGACAAAGGGAAUACACAAAGAAGUGUGUUGUGAGUUAAUUCAUUGCUUCUGUUCCGGCUGCAUUGGGUAACAUGACCUGACGCAAGCUCUCUGAGCUGAGGAGACACCUGCACAGAGGAGGAAACCACAGCUACGUCUGGUCUACAGCUGCAGUCCAAAAAAUCCGUUUUACAAGAAACUACACUACUUCUUUACAGUGCAGCUUGAUUGGGAAGACCGUACAUUACAUAGGCUGAAAUUCAAUUGAAUGAACCCGGU
rnacentral:lncRNA from 1 species